rnacentral:rRNA from 1 species
AGCGAACGCUGGCGGCAAGCCUAAUACAUGCAAGUCGAACGGCUCUUCGGAGCAGUGGCGGACGGGUGAGUAACACGUGGGAACGUGCCCUUUGGUACGGAACAACUGAGGGAAACUUCAGCUAAUACCGUAUGUGCCCCCAUUCUUAGCGGGAUGGGUGGGAAAGAUUUAUCGCCAUUGGAGCGGCCCGCGUUGGAUUAGCUAGUUGGUGGGGUAAAGGCCCACCAAGGCUACGAUCCGUAGCUGGUCUGAGAGGAGGAUCAGCCACACUGGGACUGAGACACGGCCCAGACUCCUACGGGAGGCAGCAGUAGGGAAUCUUGCGCAAUGGGCGAAAGCCUGACGCAGCCAUGCCGCGUGAAUGAUGAAGGUCUUAGGAUUGUAAAAUUCUUUCACCGGGGAAGAUAAUGACGGUACCCGGAGAAGAAGCCCCGGCUAACUUCGUGCCAGCCGCCGCAGUAA